rnacentral:rRNA from 1 species
GAGUUUGAUCAUGGCUCAGGACGAACGCUGGCGGCGUGCCUAAUACAUGCAAGUCGAACGGUCUUUUCUAUGGAAGCUUGCUUCCACUGAGAAGAUAGUGGCGAACGGGUGAGUAACACGUGGGUAACCUGCCCAUAAGAGGGGGAUAACAUCCGGAAACGGGUGCUAAUACCGCAUAGUUUUCUUGAUCGCAUGAUCGGGAAAGGAAAGACGGCCUUUGUGCUGUCGCCUAUGGAUGGACCCGCGGCGUAUUAGUUAGUUGGUGAGGUAACGGCUCACCAAGACGAUGAUACGUAGCCGACCUGAGAGGGUGAUCGGCCACAUUGGGACUGAGACACGGCCCAAACUCCUACGGGAGGCAGCAGUAGGGAAUCUUCCGCAAUGGACGAAAGUCUGACGGAGCAACGCCGCGUGAGUGAAGAAGGUUUUCGGAUCGUAAAACUCUGUUGUCAGAGAAGAACAAGUUGGAGAGUAACUGCUCCAGCCUUGACGGUAUCUGACCAGAAAGCCACGGCUAACUACGUGCCAGCAGCCGCGGUAAUACGUAGGUGGCAAGCGUUGUCCGGAUUUAUUGGGCGUAAAGCGAGCGCAGGCGGUUCCUUAAGUCUGAUGUGAAAGCCCACGGCUCAACCGUGGAAGGUCAUUGGAAACUGGGGAACUUGAGUGCAGAAGAGGAGAGUGGAAUUCCAUGUGUAGCGGUGAAAUGCGUAGAUAUAUGGAGGAACACCAGUGGCGAAGGCGACUCUCUGGUCUGUAACUGACGCUGAGGCUCGAAAGCGUGGGGAGCAAACAGGAUUAGAUACCCUGGUAGUCCACGCCGUAAACGAUGAGUGCUAAGUGUUGGGAGGGUUUCCACCCUUCAGUGCUGCAGCUAACGCAUUAAGCACUCCGCCUGGGGAGUACAGC